AGAUGCUCCACAAGACCCUGCUUCUCCUCCUGCUGGCGACGGCACACACGGCGGCCGCAGAGUGGCUGGGAGAGGAUGUUGUUCUGCUAUGCUUGCCGGAGGUAAUCCCUGUGCUUCUCUGGUUCAGCCUCCACCUCGACCGUAAACCAGGAAGUAGCUCCAUCAUCAGCUUCAACAAGGUUAAGCCUCACAAAAAUUGGCUCAUCUUCCUCGGUGCAAUGGUGGUGGCUCCUCCUUUUGCUUACCUGGCGAAAUUCAUGGAUGAAGUUGGGCUAUUCGGCUGGUGUACGACAUUCCAGGUGUCAUGUGGCGUCUCAGGGAUUCUGACCUACUACCUUGCGUUCAUGCUAAGUCACUGGUCGAAGCAACAAGUAGCAGCUGCUGGGAACGAUGGUGGGGCUUCCGGUAUGCUUAAAUUAUGGGCAUACGCUUUACUCCUAGCGGCGGCUUCGUCCCUGCUGCUCAAGUGUCUGGUUUCUGCCCGGCUUGGUUUGCAACUACCACUGCAUGCAACCGUUAUAUACGUUAGUAAUUUUUUGGGUUUUCACCACUCAAAUUAAUAUAAUGAUCAUGUUGUGUAGUAUAUGCAAUGUUGUGUUUGCGUAGUUGGAAAGAGGAAGAGAAAGAUAGAAAGAGAGAGUUAGCUACCUGGAUUGCUAAGCUAGUUAUGUAUGCAUCUGUGUGAUAUCUGAACGCUGUAUAUACAAUAAUCGACAGUUUGUAACUUAUACCAAGAAGAAAACACAUUAUUCUCGCUUCCUUUAAUAGUUUUUUUAUAAGCAUUGACAGUUGAACAAUUGUUCUCUGGUAUUUUUGAGAGUGGAUUUUAAGUCCCCGGGUGUCUAGACACCCCCUUAUCGAAACCGUACAUUUAGAAUUCACCACAUAGAGAUCUGUGACAUGUACGGUACCACAAUUUUGAUUAGCAGGCGCAGCAGUUGUUUAGCGCUGGAGGAUGCGUCUAUUUGAAAUGAUUCUGGACCUAGUCUAUCACCGCUCAUAGGCUGAUUCCACCUAGCGAUGCAAGUAGCGAGCUGUCGAGUUGACAUGUCGAGCACAGGUUUCAUUGCUCUGAUAGUUGAAAGAAACACUAUGGCAGAACUCUCUUUUUUAAUGCCAGUACACCGUUGAGUGAGAGGACGCUGCUGCGUAUGGCUGUGAGAGUGACACGGAGAAAAAAGAAGAGAGAAAUCGCUUAAGAAUGAACUUUACUUUUUGGAGAUGUGACAGAAAAAAUGGAGAGAGAAAGCAUGUGAGAGAGAACUUCACCUUUUUCUUCGAGAAGUGACACAGAAAAAUGGAGAGAGAGGGAGAGAACGCUUGUGAGAGAGGAAAUCACUUUUUUUAAGAAGGGACUAGUGAGAGAGAAUUUAUGUCCGAGAUAAAGAGAUGUUUUUUAGUAGGUGAGAGAACAACUUGUGCAUGCAUGAUGAUGUGACUAUGAGAGAGAUGCAUAGCAUGAGGGAGAGAGAUGUGCACCGCAGCCAGCUUACGUGCUACCUCUCUUAAUUUGAUGUGAUCAUAGUCCACUCACUGCAAAACCUAGGACUCAGCACGAAUCUAUAAAAAAACUGGGCGCAUCGGAUAACGGGGUGCCUAGACACCCGGGUGCUAUGACACCUUUUCGUUUUUGAUAUAUUGAAAACAAGAUAAUAUGUACUAUCUCCGUCUCAUAAUAUAAGAUGUUUUUGGAUACUAUGGAGGGAGUACAAAGGUAGCAACCAAUUCCUUUCUUUGGAAACAUAAAAAACUGUAGGAACUAGAAGUGCUAAACUGGAACAUGGACAUCAAUCCAACUACAGAUAAUUGGAAUGUAACUUGUCUUACUCUAUGGCUCAUGAUCCUUAGAUCCUGUUUCAACAAAAGAUAGAAUGUGAAAGGUUGGGUUUGAUAUUAUCAAAAUCAUAUUUUUCCUCUGCAUCCAAAUACUCCAGCAGCCCAUAAUUAAAUUUUCAAUAGCUAUUUCUGGAUGCAAAGCAGUAGCAGCAAUUGAACAUCAGUAAUAAUAGAAGUACUUCAUUUUUUCUUGGCUAUAGUGAAAUCCCAGCAGAGGAGGGCAAAGGUGCAACCCCAAAAUAGAGGCACAGUUCUCCCUUCAUUGUGAGUGUUGCACACAAAACACAUGAUUAGGAAGGGAGCUAAAAGGAUUUCCCCUGAACUAAAUUUCUGAUGUUCAAUAUAUUUUGGAGCAAAAUCUAGAAGAAUAUUUUGUAUCUCGGAAUGGGUGAACUCUUCCAUAACUUCCUAACAACAACGUGCGUUGGAACUCCAUACAUUUCAUAGUUUUAAAUAGCCGGCUAUAGCCUCGCUAUAGUCUUGCUAUAGCAUGUUCAACAGGAUGCCACUAAAUGGUAUCAUAUACAAAUUGACCGCUAUAGCCUGAGCGCUAUAGCUGAUUUAGAGGCCAGUGCUAUUUACCAUAGCCCACUAUUUUAAACAUUGAUACAUUUUCAUAAGAUUAGAAGUCUGGUAAUUCCAAGAGUAACUCCAUCUGUCUUUGUCCUCGAAAACAGUGUUCUGCUGCACGAGGCUUGUAGGAGGUGGGCUCGAAUUUAAAGAGGUGUGUGAAAGAGUCCUUCCAGACGAGGGGAGUUGAGAACCUCCUUAGGUGAUAUUUUCUCAUUGAUAUCAAUGUUAAACAUUGUAAUUACGGUGUUGUAUAAGCUGUGAACUGUAUACGGUGCGUGCUUGUGUUUAUCUCCUGUUGUAAACCGUGUUAGGUUGUUAGGAUUGAUCCUCCUUCUGUUAGUUUCUUGGAGAUCAAUUCUACAGCCUAACCAACUUGUAAUCUUCUCUAUAUUAACACGUAUGUGUCCCUGCCCAAAGGCAUACGCUUCAGCCUCGUUUUUUAUAUGGCAUACAGAGCGAUAUCUUCCCAUCGCAUCUACUAGAGCUAUGUUGUCUUCCUCCUUUGUCGUCAUGGCCGUCUCCUGUCUUGCAUCGCUGGAUCACACCGUGGCCGAGAAGCUGACCAGGUACAAGUUCCUAGUAUGAAAGACCCAAAUCAUGACGCACAUCGGUGUUGGAAAUAUGCCCUAGAGGCAAUAAUAAAUAGUUAUUAUUAUAUUUCCUGUUUAAAGAUAAUCGUUUAUUAUCAACGCUAUAAUUGAAUUGAAUGAAAACAUAGAUACAUGUGUGGAUACAUAGACAAAACAAUGUCCCUAGCAAGCCUCUAGUUGGCUAGCCAGUUGAUCAAUGAUAGUCAAUGUUUUCUGGCUAUGUGCAAGUGUUGUCACUUGAUAACUGGAUCACAUCAUUAGGAGAAUCAUGUGAUGGACUAGACCCAAACUAUGAACGUAGCAUAUUGAUCGUGUCGUUUUAUUGCUAUUGUUUUCUGUGAGUCAAGUAUUUGUUUCUAUGACCAUGAGAUCAUAUAACUCACUGGCACCGGAGGAGUACCUUGUGUGCAUCAAACGUCACAACAUAACUGGGUGACUAUAAAGGUGUUCUACAGGUAUCUUCGAAGGUGUCCGUUGAGUUAGUAUGGAUCAAGACUGGGAUUUGUCACUCCGUGUGACGGAGAGGUAUCUCGGGCCCCACUCGGUAAUACAACAUCACACACAAGCCUUGCAAGCAAUGUGACUAAGUGUAAGUCACGGGAUAUUGUAUUACGGAACGAGUAAAGAGACUUGCCGGUAACGAGCUUGAAAUAGGUAUGCGGAUACCGACGAUCAAAUCUCGGGCAAGUAACAUACCGAAGGACAAAGGGAAUGACAUACGGGAUUAUAUGAAUCCUUGACACUGAGGUUCAACCGAUAAGAUCUUCGGAGAAUAUGUAGGAUCCAAUAUGGGCAUCCAGGUCCCGCUAUUGGAUAUUGACCGAGGAGUUCCUCGGGGCAUGUCUGCAUAGUUCUCGAACCCGCAGGGUCUGCACACUUAAGGUUCGGCGAUGUUUUAGUAUAGUUGAGUUAUAUGUGUUGUUACCGAAUGUUGUUCGGAGUCCCGGAUAAGAUCACGGAUGUCACGAGGGUUUCCGGAAUGGUCCGGAUACGAAGAUUGAUAUAUAGGAUGGUUUCAUUUGGUUACCGGAAAGUUUCAGGAAAUUCCGAGAGUGUACCGGGAGUGACGAAUGGAGACGUAUUAGAGUUCACCGGGAGGGGCCAACCCAGCCGGGAGUGAGCCUAAGGCCAUAGGAUGGCGCCACAAGUCCCUAGUGGGCUGGUGGAGUCAGCCCAAGGGGUCCAUUGCGCCACAUAAGAAAAUACCAAAUUAAAGAAAAAGGAAAAGGAAAAGGGGAGGUGGGAAGGAAGGAGUGGACUCCUUCCCCCAAAACGAAUUGGGGUGGGUGUCCACCUCCCCCUUGGCCGGCACACCCUUGAGGGCUUGGCCCCCAAGGCAAGCCUCCUCCCCCUCCCUCCUAUAUAUAGUGGUCUUUUAGGGCUGAUUUGAGAAAAAAAUUGCCACGUGCAACUCAGCCCUAAACCACAUAGUUCCACCUCUAGAUCGGAUUUCUGCAGAGCUCGGGUGGAGCCCUGCAGGAGUAGAUCAUCACCACCAUCGGAGCGUCGUCACGCUGCCGGAGAACUCAUCUACUUCUCUGUCUUGCUUGUUGUAUCAAGAAGGCCGAGAUCAUCGUCGAGUUGUACGUGUGCUGAACGCGGAGGUGCCGUCCGUUCGGCACUAGAUCGGAACGGAUCGUGGGACGGAUCGCAGGACGGUUCGUGGGGCGGAUCGAGGGACGUGAGGACGUUCCACUACAUCAACCGCGUUUCUUAACGCUUCCCGCUGUGCGAUCUACAAGGAUACGUAGAUCCAAAUCUCCUCUCAUAGAUGGACAUCACCAUGAUAGGUCUUCGUGUGCAUACGAAAAUUUCUGUUUCCCAUGCAACGUUCCCCAACAAUCAGGGCUGUCGGGAUGACCGGCUACCUGGACGGCACCAUCAAGGAACCAGCUCCGUUCCUGUCGACGGAGAAAGAGGUCUCCGGCAAGAAAGUGGUGGAGGAGGUCAUCAAUCCAGAGCAUACCAUCUAGGUGACCCAGGACCAACAGGUCCUCACCUUCCUCCUCGCCACGAUGACUCACGAGGUUCUGCUUCAGGUGAACAACCUCGACACUGGAGUAGGCGUUUGGGUGGCUGUUGUGCAGAGUUUCUUGCCGCAAUCUCGAGCCAAGAUAAGUCUACUUCGUUCCCAGAUUUGUCACAUCCGCUAGGGGGAUCUCUGUGCUCCUGCAUACUUUUGCAAGAUGAAAACAAUUGUUGAUGAAUUGGCGGCCGCUGGUAAGCCGCUUGAUGAAGAUGAAGUAGUCUCGCAUAUUCUAGAAGGUUUGGAUGCACAUUACAAUCCCUUCAUCUCUGCCAUAUCCAUGCGUGUGGAUCAAGGAGUCGGCCUGAAUGAGCUCUACUCCCUCUUGGUCUCGGCCGAGGCUCGCAUCGAGGCCCAGAACGGCUACAACAACUCCAGCGCUAAUCUUGCCUUCAAGGGAGGCAACCGUGGUGGCUUCAUCCGCCCAUCUAGUGGCUACUCUAGAGGUGGCACCAACACCAGCGGCAGCAAAAACAACUCCGGGGGCGGGGGCUCUCACUCCAACAACACUACCAACAACUUCGAGAGUCGUCAAGGCGGAGAAGACGUGCUUAAGUGCCAACUCUGUAAGCUUGAGGGCCAUGGAGCUUGGUGCUACAAGAAGAGAUAUGAUCGCGACUACAACAAUAAGUUUCAGCGUCAAAGAGGAGGUGGUGGUGGUGGUGGUGAUCUUUCUGCGAACGCUGCUACAAACUCCUACGGUGUCGAUGCCAAUUGGUAUCUUGACACAGGAGCCACGGAUCACUUGACAGACGAUCUUGAGAGGCUUGCGGUUCGUGAUUGCUACACCAGCACCGAGCAAAUCCACAGUGCUAGUGGUCAAGGUAUAGAUAUUGCACAGGUUGUUCAUUCGGUUUUAGCUACUCCCCAAGGCUCACUCAAGUUGAAUAAUAUUCUUCAUGUUCCAUGUGCAUCAAAAAAAAUUCUUUCCACAUAUGUACCAACUUAUGGAAGAUAAUCAUGCUUACCUUGAACUUCAUCCUCAAUUCUUUUCUGUCAAGGAUCGGGCAACACGAAGAAUUCUCCUUCAAGGCAAGAGUAGGAGGCGUUUGUUUUCUGUCACGGGUCAAGCCAUGGCCCCUAAGCAAGAAGAGAUUGGUGCAAUAAAACCAUCAAUGUCUCGAUGGCACAAGCGCUUGGGGCAUCCUGCUUUUCUGGUGGUCCAACAAAUUCUUUGCAAUUUUAGUCUUUUAGUUUCAAAUAAAAAAGAUUAUCUCUUAGUUUGUGAUGCUUGCCAAAUGGCUAAAAUCCAUCAGCUACCAUACCGUCGAUCAACUAGUGAUUCAAAACCUCCUUUAGAGCUCGUUUUUCGGAUGCUUGGGGCCUUGGACCUAUUUAUGUAGGAAGACAGAAAUUUUAUGCCAGCUUUAUUGAUGAUUUCAGCAAGUUUAGUUGGAUUUAUUUGCUUAAACAUAUGUCUGAUGUGUUUGAGAAAUUUCAUAUUUUCCAACAACAUGUUGAACGUCUCUUUGAUCGUAAGAUUAUUGCUAUGCAAACAUAUUGGGGGUGAAUACCAAAAGCUCGACUCCUUUUUGAGCGCAUUGGAAUCACACAUCAUGUUUUGUGCCCCCAUGCUCAUCAACAGAAUGGUUCCGCGGAACGUAAGCAUAGAGACAUUGUUGAAGUAGGACUAUCACUCCUUGCUCAUGCAUCCAUGCCCUUAAAAUUCUGGGAUGAGGCAUUUCUUACAACUGUAUAUCUUAUCAAUCGCACCCCCAGUCGUGUUAUCAAAAACCAACCUCCACUAGAGCGGCUUUUUGGUACUAAACCCAACUACACCUUUCUUCGCAUUUUUGGAUGCGCCGUCUGGCCUAAUCUUCGUCCUUUCAACAAACAUAAGCUUGAAUUCCGUUCAAAAGAGUGUGCCUUUUGAGGCUACACGACUCUUCACAAGGGUUACAAGUGUUUGGAUAUUUCCUCCGGACGUGUCUAUAUUUCCCGUGAUGUGUUCUUUGAUGAGCAUGUUUUUCCUUUUGCGAGCGUUUAUCCUAAUGUCGGUGCUCAACUUCGCAAGGAGCUAAUUCUUCUCGCACAACAUCCUCUUCUGCCAUCACAUGUUAUUCAGGGAGUAGUAGACCACCGCAAUGAUCGCAUGUCAAUAUCUAAUGAUACCUCUGAUCCUGUCUCUGAAAGUGUGCAGGAAACAGGAACUAAUCAUGAAGAAAUAGGAGAAAAUUCGCUUCAUUUUAUGCAGAAUCUGGAGACAUGGGCAACAACCGCAGAAAAUCUAGAGCCUCCCUGGGAGCCACGUGGCGGGCGUGGUGAGGACUCCUCGCCCGUCACGCUAGCUUCUCCUUUGUCCUCGCAUCAGGUGUCAGUUUCUGAUUCGGUGGAUUUUCACGUCCAGGAUUCCCCUAGUACUACUGUUUCUGCUCCCUCUAAUGUUUCUCCUGUAGAGAAUCGUUUUCAGCUACAGGUUACAUGUCCUGCACCACCACCACUCGUUCGGGCUCAUACAAGGUCACAAAGAGGUGUUAUUAAGCCCAAAGAAUAUACCAAUUGGUGUAUUCGUUGGGGAUCUUUUUGGGACACAAGUGAACCGGAGAACUUAAGAGAAACACUUGGUGAUCCUAAAUGGAAAUGGCAAUGGAUGAAGAGUACAAUGCACUCAUGGAGAACAAGACAUUGUUGGAAAUAUGCCCUAGAGGCAAUAAUAAAUUGGUUAUUAUUAUAUUUCCUUGUUCAUGAUAAUCGUUUAUUAUCCAUGCUAUAAUUAUAUUGAUUGGAAACUCAAAUACAUGUGUGGAUACGUAGACAACACUCUGUCCCUAGUGAGCCUCUAGUUGACUAGCUCGUUGAUCAAAGAUGGUGAAGGUUUCCUCACCAUAGACAAGUGUUGUCACUUAAUAACGGGAUCACAUCAUUGGGAGAAUGAUGUGAUGGACAAGACCCAAAACUAUGAACGUAGCAUAUGAUCGUGUCAGUUUAUUGCUACUAUUUUCUGCAUGCUAAUGUAUCUGUUCCUAUGACCAUGAGAUCAUGCAACUCCCGGACACCGGAGGAAUACCUUGUGGGUUAUCAAACGUCGCAACGUAACUCGGUAACUAUAAAGGUGCUCUGCAGGUAUCUCCAAAGGUGUCUGUUGGGUUGGCAUGGAUCAAGACUGGGAUUUGUCACUCCAUGUGACAGAGAGGUAUCUCGGGGCCCCCUCGGUAAUACAACAUCACAACAAGCCUUGCAAGCAAUGUGACUAAGGAGUUAGUUACGGGAUCUUGUAUUACGGAACGAGUAAAGAGACUUGCCGGUAACGAGAUUGCACUAGGUAUGGAGAUACCGACGACCGAAUCUCGGGCAAGUAAUGUUGGAAAUAUGCCCUAGAGGCAAUGAUAAAUAGUUAUUAAUAUAUUUCCUGUUUAAAGAUAAUCGUUUAUUAUCCAUGCUAUAAUUGUACUGAAUGAAAACAUAGAUAUAUGUGUGGAUACAUAGAAAAAAUAAUGUAUCUAGCAAGCCUCUAGUCGGCUAGCCAGUUGAUCAAUGAUAGUCAAGGUUUUCUGACUAUGUGCAAGUGUUGUCACUUGAUAACUAGAGCACAUCAUUAGGAGAAUCAUGUGAUGGACUAGACCCAAACUAUGAACNNNNNNNNNNNNNNNNNNNNNNNNNNNNNNNNNNNNNNNNNNNNNNNNNNNNNNNNNNNNNNNNNNNNNNNNNNNNNNNNNNNNNNNNNNNNNNNNNNNNUCUCCUCAGUGACGAGGGUUUCGAGUUCCUUGAUGGUAUUGGUGUGCUUACUCACCAUUUCCUUAAGUAUGCGAAACAUAGUGAGCUUCUUUUCUUUAAGAGAGCACAUAAAUUUGUUCACUUUAGCAAACAUGGGAUGAUCUAAAUCAUCAUCCUCAUAAUGAUCUUCCGCAUCAAGAUACUCAUCAGAAGGGGUAGAAACUAGACUGAAAAAGUUUAACCGUGGGGUUACCUUAACCUUAUCAUGGGAGCUUUGGUCUUCCCCAUCUCCCAUGGCAGUCUUUGCCAUCAAACACUUGUGAGCGUUGCCCUUGUAGUCCUUCAUAUAUUUGUAGUGAACAACAUCACCACUUUUGUUGACUAGCCUCAAGGUACUCUGUGUAUCUUGAGCUACUCCGGCAACUCCACCAACAUCUUCUGGAUCUGAUUCUUCUUGUGCAACCAUUGCUCUUCCAUCUGUCCUCUUGGACUUGGAGUUCAUAGGGUUUGGUAACUUCUUCUUUAAAAGGUCUNNNNNNNNNNNNNNNNNNNNNNNNNNNNNNNNNNNNNNNNNNNNNNNNNNNNNNNNNNNNNNNNNNNNUUUGGAAACCUUGGUUUGUAUUCUCUCUUCUCAUAAGGGCAGUCGUUGGAGAAGUGGUUGGUUUCCUCACAGUUAUAGCAUUUCCUUACCUUCUUCUUUGGAAAUCUUCCCUUGAACUUCCCUGCACUGAACUUCUUCACAAAGAGAGCCAUGUCCUCAAACGAUGGGCUUUCAUCAGAGUCAACAUCAUCACCAUCUUGACAGUGAUCAUCACCUUCUUCUUCUUCACUUUCUUCUUCGCCAUACUCAUGCUUGGCUUUCAAAGCAAGAUUGAUCUUUGAUGUUGAAGUGCCAUGCAUGGCUAGGUGCUUUGUUGCAUUUGCCUUUGACUCUUCAAAUAAUUGGAAAGUGGAUAUGAUGUCAUCCGGAGUCAUUUCUUUGAAAGCAUGGUGCUGUCUCAUGUCCCAUACCAUUUGAUGGUGAUAUGGAGCAAGAACGUGAAGUANNNNNNNNNNNNNNNNNNNNNNNNNNUGGAGCAAGAACGUGAAGUAACUUGUCCACAAGGAAUCUCUUGGUCAGAUUGAAACCAUCUUGCGUCUUGUCACAGUCACAUGACUCAAUGUCUGUGGCGAGAGUCAUGAGCCGUUCUAGUAGUUGCUUGGGAGAUUCACCCUUUUCCAUACAGAAAUUCUGUAAUUGCCCCUUGGCAAUUUCAUAUUGAGCAAGCCGAAGAGUGGAGGUNNNNNNNNNNNNNNNNNNNNNNNNNNNNNNNNNNNNNNNNNNNNNNNNNNNNNNNNNNNNNNNNNNNNNNNNNNNNNNNNNNNNNNNNNNNNNNNNNNNNACUCUGUCUUCAACUCAAUGCAUGUCCAAUUGCCUCGGACAUCCGGCUCCCUCCGGACGUCCGAGGGCCAGACGUCCGGCUAGCUUCGGAAAUCCGCAGCCAGCCACGAGAAGUUUGUGAGGCAUAUAACUCGGAAAUCCGGCUCCCUCCGGANNNNNNNNNNNNNNNNNNNNNNNNNNNNNNNNNNNNNNNNNNNNNNNNNNNNNNNNNNNNNNNNNNNNNNNNNNNNNNNNNNNNNNNNNNNNNNNNNNNNNNNNNNNNNNNNNNNNNNNNNNNNNNNNNNNNNNNNNNNNNNNNNNNNNNNNNNNNNNNNNNNNNNNNNNNNNNNNNNNNNNNNNNNNNNNNNNNNNNNNNNNNNNNNNNNNNNNNNNNNNNNNNNNNNNNNNNNNNNGCUGAUGAAUUCAAAUAUGUUCAGGCGCAUCUACAGGCCUCGGACGACCGACCCCUGUCGGACGUCCGGUUGCUGAUGAAUUCAGAAGAGUUCCAGUCGUGCCUACAGGUCUCGGAUGACCGACCCCUGUCGGACGUCCGGCCCCUCACGGACGCCUGGACGUCCAGCAUGUGUCGGACGUCCGGACCCUGUGUGACUUAUUGCACCUCCAACGACUGGAUUUCACCCCACACUAUAAAUACUCUUCACCCACCUCGUGAAAGGGUGUUCAACACAGCUAAGAUACACCCAAGAACACCUUUCCUCUCACUCACUCUUGUUUACACCAAAUCCUAGAUCCCAAGAGCAUUUAUGAGUCCUUUUGAGUGUUGUUCCAAUCAAAAGAUAGAUCAUCUCCCUCUUCUCCUUCCCACCAAAGUGAUUUGUGAUUUGAGCAAGUUUUGAGCAAUCCCCGUGAUCUUGUUACUCUUGGAGGUUGGAGACUCCUAGGCGGUAGGAGUCUUCGGAGAGGAAUCAAACCAUUGUGAUUUCCCCCGGAAAGUUUGUGAAGGUUUGGAAGCCACCUCAAGGCUUACCACUAGUGGUUGAGAAACGCCUUCGUGGAGUUAUCUCAAAGGGAGAAUAGGGUGAGCCUUCGUGGCGUUGGUGUGCCUUCGUGGUAACAUCCGCCCCUCUAACGAUGACGUAGCUUCCCUCCAAGGAAGUGAACAUCGGGAUACAUCCUUGUCUCUCUNNNNNNNNNNNNNNNNNNNNNNNNNNNNNNNNNNNNNNNNNNNNNNNNNNNNNNNNNNNNNNNNNNNNNNNNNNNNNNNNNNNNNNNNNNNNNNNNNNNNCACGAAACGAAAGCUACGGCAUAAACGGAGACUAGCUAAAGGCGAGGUGACGAUACGUGUUGGGGCGGAUCGAGGGACGUGAGGACGUUCCACUACAUCAACCGCGUUCACUAACGCUUCUGCAGUGCGAUCUACAAGGGUACGUAGAUCGGAAAUCCCCUCUCGUAGAUGGACAUCACCAUGAUAGGUCUUCGUGCCCUAAGGAAAAUUUUUGUUUCCCAUGCGACGUUCCCCAACAGUGGCAUCAUGAGCUAGGUUCAUGCGUAGAUGUCUUCUCGAGUAGAACACAAAAGUUUUUGUGGGCGGUGAUGUGCGUUUUGCUGCCCUCCUUAGUCUUUUCUUGAUUCCGCGGUAUUGUUGGAUCUAAGCGGCUCGGACCGACAUUACUCGUACGCUUACGAGAGACUGGUUUCAUCGCUACGAGUAACUCUGUUGCUCAAAGAUGACCGACGAGUGUCGGUUUCUCCAACUUUAGUGGAAUCGGAUUUGACCGAGGAGGUCCUUGGAUGAGGUUAAAUAGCAACUCAUAUAUCUCCGUUGUGGUGUUUGCAUAAGUAAGAUGUGAUCCUACUAGAUACCCAUGGUCACCACGUAAAACAUGCAACAACAAUUAGAGGACGUCUAACUUGUUUUUGGAGGGUAUGCUUGUGAUGUGAUAUGGCCAACGAUGUGAUGUGAUAUAUUGGAUGUAUGAGAUGAUCAUGUUGUAAUAGUUAAUAUCGACUUGCACGUCGAUGGUACGGCAACCGGUAGGAGCCAUAGGGUUGUCUUUAAACUAACGUUUGUGCUUGCAGAUGCGUUUACUAUUUUGCUAGGAUGUAGCUUUAGUAGUAAUAGCAUGAGUAGCACGACAACCCCGAUGGCGACACGUUGAUGGAGAUCAUGGUGUGACGCCGGUGACAAGAAGAUCGUGCCGGUGCUUUGGUGAUGGAGAUCAAGAAGCACAUGAUGAUGGUCAUAUCAUGUCACUUAUGAAUUGCAUGUGAUGUUAAUCCUUUAUGCACCUUAUCUUGCUUAGAACGACGGUAGCAUUAUGAGGUGAUCUCUCACUAAAAUUUCAAGACGAAAUUGUGUUCUCCCCGACUGUGCACCGUUGCGACAGUUCUUCGUUUCGAGACACCACGUGAUGAUCGGGUGUGAUAGACUCAACGUUCACAUACAACGGGUGCAAAACAGUUGCACACGCGGAACACUCGGGUUAAGCUUGACGAGCCUAGGAUGUGCAGACAUGGCCUCGGAACACAUGAGACUGAAAGGUCGAACAUGAAUCAUAUAGUUGAUAUGAUUAGCAUAGAGAUGCUUACCACUGAAACUAUUCUCGACUCACGUGAUGAUCGUACUUGAGAUAGUGGAUUUGUAUCAUGUACCACUCAAAUGACUAGAGAGAUGUACUUUUUGAGUGGGAGUUCUUAAGUAAUAUGAUUAAUUGAACUAAUUGUCAUGAACAUAGUCUAAUGGUCUUUGCGAAUUACGAUGUAGCUUGCGCUAUAGCUCUACUGUUUUUAUAUGUUCCUAGAGAAAAUUUAGUUGAAAGUUGAUAGUAGCAAACUUUGCAGACUAAGUCUGUAAAACCGAGGAUUGUCCUCAUUGCUGCACAGAGUCUGUAAACCGAGGAUUGUCCUCGUUGCUACGCAGAAGGCUUAUGUCCUUAAUACACCACUCGGUGUGCUGCACCUCGAGCGUCGUCUGUAGAUGUUGUGAACAUCCGACAUACACGUUUGUGAUGACUACACGAUAGUUAAGUACAAAAUACUUAAUGGCUUAGAAGCAAGGCACCGAAGACGUUUUGAAACGUAGCGGAACAUAAGAGAUGUUCUAAAGAGAUGAAAUUGUGAUUUCAUGCUUGUGCCCUUGUUAAGAGGUAUGAGACCUCCGACAAGAUUCUUUGUCCACGAAGUAAAGGAGAAAAGCUCAAUCGUUGAGCAUGUGCUCAGAUUAUCUGAGUACGACAAUCGCUUAAAUCAAGUGGGAGUUGAUCUUCCAGAUAAGAUAGUGAUGGUUCUUCAAAGUCACUGCCACCAAGUUGUAAGAGCUUCGUGAUGAACUAUAACAUAUCAAGGAUAGAUACAAUGAUCCUUGAGCGAUUCGCGAUGUUUGACACUGCGAAAGUAGAAAUCUAGAAGGAGCAUCAAUAGUUGAUGGUUAGUAAAACCACUAAGUUUUGAGAAAGGCAAGGGCUAGAAGGGAUACUUCGUGAAACGGCAAAGCAGUUGCUGCACUAAUUAAGAGACCCCAGAUUAAACCCAAGCCCGGGACUGAGUGCUUCUGUAAUGACGGGAACGGUCACUAAGGCGGAGCAACUCUAGAUACUGUUGGAAAUAUGCCCUAGAGGCAAUAACAAAUUAGUUAUUAUUAUAAUUCUUAGUUCGUGAUAAUCAUUUAUUAUCCAUGCUAUAAUUGUAUUGAUUGGAAACACAAUACUUGUGUGGAUACAUAGACAAAACACUGUCCCUAGUAAGCCUCUAGUUGACUAGCUCAUUGAUCAAAGAUGGUCAAGGUUUCCUGGCCAUAGGCAAGUGUUGUCACUUGAUAACGGGAUCACAUCAUUAGAAGAAUCAUGUGAUGGACUAGACCCAAACUAAUAGACGUAUCAUGUUGAUCGUGUCAUUUUGUUGCUACUGUUUUCUACGUGUCAAGUAUUUGUUCCUAUGACCAUGAGAUCAUAUAACUCACGGACACCGGAGGAAUGCUUUGUGUGUAUCAAAUGUAGAAACAUAACUGGGUGACUAUAAAGAUGCUCUACAGGUAUCUCCGAAGGUGUUCGUUGAGUUAGUAUGGAUCAAGACUGGGAUUUGUCACUCCGUGUGACGGAGAGGUAUCUCGGGGCCCACUCGGUAAUACAACAUCACACACAAGCCUUGCACGCAAUGUGACUUAGUGUAAGUUGCGGGAUCUUGUAUUACGGAAUGACUAAGUGUAAGUCAUGGGAUCUUGUAUUACGGAACGAGUAAAGAGACUUGCCGGUAACGAGAUUGAAAUAGGUAUGCGGAUACCGACGAUCAAAUCUCGGGCAAGUAACAUACCGAAGGACAAAGGGAAUGACAUAUGAGAUUAUAUGAAUCCUCGGCACUGAGGUUCAAACGAUAAGAUCUUCGUAGAAUAUGGAGGAUCCAAUAUGGGCAUCCAGGUCGCGCUAUUGGAUAUUGACCGAGGAGUCUCUCCGGUCAUGUCUACAUAGUUCUCGAACCCGCAGGGUCUGCACACUUAAGGUUCGAAGUUCUCGAACCCGCACGGUCUGCAUACUUAAGGUUCGAUGAUGUUUUAGUAUAGUUGAGUUGUAUGUGUGGUUAUCGAAUGUUGUUCGGAGUCCCAGAUGAGAUCACGGACGUCACGAGGGUUUCCGAAAUGGUCCGGAAACAAAGAUUGAUAUAUAGUAUGGUUUCAUUUGGUUACCGGAAGGUUUUCGGGCAUUACCGGCAUUGUACCGGGAGUGACGAAUGGGUUCCGGAAUUUCACCGGGAGGGGGGCAACCCACCCGGGGGAAGCCCAGAGUCCUUAAGGGUGGCGCACCAGCCCUUAGUGGGCUGGUGGGACAGCCCAAAAGAGCCCUAUGUGCAUUGGAAUAAAAAUCAAAGAAAAAAGAAAAAAAAAGAGGAAGUGGGAAAGGGAAGAAGGACUCCACCUUCCAAACCAAGAAGGACUCGGUUUGGGGGGGGAGACCUUCCCCCUUAGGUUCGGCCGACCCCCUUGGGAGUCCUUGGACCCCAAGGCAAGGCUCCCCCCUCCUCCUACUAUAUAUAGUGGGGUUUUAGGGCUGAUUUGAGACAACUUUGCCACGGCAGCCCGACCACAUACCUCCACGGUUUUACCUCUAGAUCGCGUUUCUGCGGAGCUCGGGCGGAGCCCUGCUGAGACAAGGUCAUCACCAACCUCCGGAGCGCCGUCACGCUGCCGGAGAACUCUUCUACCUCUCCGUCUCUCUUGCUGGAUCAAGAAGGCCGAGAUCAUCGUCGAGCUGUACGUGUGCUGAACGCGGAGGUGCCGUCCGUUCGGCACUAGAUCGUGGGACUGAUCGCGGGAUAGUUCGCGGGGCGGAUCGAUGGAUGUGAGGACGUUCCACUACAUCAACCGUGUUCACUAACGCUUCUGCUGUAUGGUCUACAAGGGUACGUAGACCACACAUCCCCUCUCGUAGAAGGACAUCACCAUGAUAGGUCUUCGUGCGCGUAGGAAAAAAUUUUGUUUCCCAUGCGACGUUCCCCAACAGUGGCAUCAUGAGCUAGGUUCAUGCGUAGAGGUCAUGUCGAGUAGAACACAAAAGUUUUUGUGGGCGGUGAUGUGCAUUUUGCUUCCCUCCUUAGUCUUUUCUUGAUUCCGCGGUAUUGUUGGAUCGAAGCGGCUCGGACCGACAUUACUCGUACGCUUACGAGAGACUGGUUUCAUCGCUACGAGUAACUCCGUUGCUCAAAGAUGACUGGCGGGUGUCAGUUUCUCCAACUUUAGUUGAAUCGGAAUUGACCGAGGAGGUCCUUGGAUGAGGUUAAAUAGCAACUCAUAUAUCUCCGUUGUGGUGUUUGCAUAAGUAAGAUGUGAUCCUACUAGAUACCCAUGGUCACCACGUAAAACAUGCAACAACAAAAUUAGAGGAUGUCUAACUUGUUUUUGCAGGGUAUGCUUGUGAUGUGAUAUGGCCAACGAUGUGAUGUGAUAUAUNNNNNNNNNNNNNNNNNNNNNNNNNNNNNNNNNNNNNNNNNNNNNNNNNNNNNNNNNNNNNNNNNNNNNNNNNNNNNNNNNNNNNNNNNNNNNNNNNNNNGUUGUUGCUUGAUAACUGGAUCACGUCAUUAGGAGAAUCACCUGAUGAACUAGACCCAAACUAAUAGACGUAGCAUGUUGAUCGUGUCAUUUUGUUGCUACUGUUUUCUGCGUGUCAAGUAUUUAUUCCUAUGACCAUGAGAUCAUAUAACUCACUGACACCGGAGGAAUGUUUUUUGUGUAUCAAACGUCGCAACGUAACUGGGUGACUAUAAAGAUGCUCUACAGGUAUCUCCGAAGGUGUUAGUUGAGUUAGUAUGGAUCAAGACUGGGAUUUGUCACUCCGUGUGACGGAGAGGUAUCUCGGGGCCCACUCGGUAAUACAACAUCACACACAAGCCUUGCAAGCAAUGUGACUUAGUGUAAGUUGCGGGAUCUUGUAUUACGGAACGAGUAAAGAGACUUGCCGGUAAACGAUAUUGAAAUAGGUAUGCGGAUACUUACGAUCGAAUCUCGGGUAAGUAACAUACCGAAGGACAAAGGGAAUGACAUACGGGAUUAUAUGAAUCCUUGGCACUGAGGUUCAAACGAUAAGAUCUUCGUAGAAUAUGUAGGAUCCAAUAUGGGCAUCCAGGUCCCGCUAUUGGAUAUUGACCGAGGAGUCNNNNNNNNNNNNNNNNNNNNNNNNNNNNNNNNNNNNNNNNNNNNNNNNNNNNNNNNNNNNNNNNNNNNNNNNNNNNNNNNNNNNNNNNNNNNNNNNNNNNAUCAAUCGUAGUCCUUUCGAUAAGUAAGAGUGUCGAACCCAACGAGGUGCAGAAGGCUCUGAUAAACGGAUUUCAGCAAGGUAAUAACUGCAAGCACUGAAAGUAGCGGUAACAAGUGAUUGUGUAGCGAGGUGAAACGUAGCAAGCAAAAAGUAACAACUAACAAGUAGUAGCAACGGUGCAGCAAGUGGCCCAAUCCCUUUUGUAGCAAGGGACAAGCCUGAACAAAGUCUUAUAGGAGGAAAAACGCCCCCGAGGACACACGGGAAUUUCUGUCAUGCUAGUUUCAUCAUGUUCAUAUGAUUCGCGUUCGUUACUUUGAUAGUUUGAUAUGUGGGUGGAUCGGCGCUUGGGUACUGCCCUUACUUGGACAAGCAUCCCACUUAUGAUUAACCUCUCUCACAAGCAUCCGCAACUACAAAAGAAGAAUUAAGACAACGUCUAACCAAAGCAUUAAGCUAGUGGAUCCAAAUCAGCCCCUUAUGAAGCAACGGAUAGACUGGGGUUUAAGCUUCUGUCACUCUAGAAACCCAUCAUCUACUUACUACUCCCCAAUGCCUUCCUCUAGGCCCAAAUAUGGUGAAGUGUUAUGUAGUCGACGUUCACAUAACACCACUAGAGGAAAAAACAACAUACGGCAUAUCAAAAUACCGAACGAAUAUCAAAUUCACAUGACUAUUAUCAGCAUGACUUAUCCCAUGUCCUCAGGAACAAAAGUAACUACUCACAAAGCAUAAUCAUAAUCAUGAUCAGAGGUGUAAUGAAUAGCAUCAAGGAUCUGAACAUAAACUCUUCCACCAAGUAAUCCAACUAGCAUCAACUACAAAGAGUAAUCAACACUACUAGCAACCUUACAAGUACCAAUCGGAGUCGUGAGACGGAGAUUGAUUACAAGAGAUGAACUAGGGAUUGGAGAGGAGAUGGUGCUGAUGAAGAUUUUGAUGAAGAUGCCUCCCCUCCGAUGAGAGGAGUGUUGGUGAUGACGAUGGUGGUGAUUUCCCCCUCCGGGAGGGAAGUUUCCCUGGCAGGAUCAUCCUGCCGGAGCUCUAGAUUGGAUCUGCUCAAGUUCCGCCUCGUGGCGGCGGCGAAACCACGAAAAAGCUCCCGACUGAUUUUUUCUGGAACGAAACCCUUCAUAUAGCAAAAGAGGGGGGCUAGUGGGUUGUCAGGGAGCCCACAAGCUUGCCCUCCGCCACCAGGGGGUGGCGGUGGCAGGGCUUGUGGCGCCCUGGCAACCCCAAUCUGGUACUUCUUUCGCCCAGCAUUUUUUAUAUAAUCCCAAAAAAUUCACGUAACUUUUCAGGGCAUUUGGAGAUGUGCAGAAUAGUGGACUANNNNNNNNNNNNNNNNNNNNNNNNNNNNNNNNNNNNNNNNNNNNNNNNNNNNNNNNNNNNNNNNNNNNNNNNNNNNNNNNNNNNNNNNNNNNNNNNNNNNUAAGAUGACAUAAAGAUUUGUAAAGAACGCACGGAUCUGAAAGUUUCAUCACAGUCAACUGUUUGAUCUUGUCAAAAACAUCUUUGCGACAAGUCGAGCUUUUCUUAAUAGUGACUUAUCACCAUCAUUGUCUGUCUUCUUUUCAAGAUCCAUUUGUUCUGAAUAGCCUUGCGGCCCUCAGGUAGUAUCUCCAAAGUCCACACUUUGUUCUCAUACAUGGAUCCUAUCUCGGAUUUCAUGGCUUCUAGCCAUUUGUUGGAAUCUGGGCCCACCAUUGCUUCUUCAUAACUCGCAGGUUCAUUGUUGUCUAACAACAUGAUUGAUAAGACGGGAUUACUGUACCACUCUGGAGCAGCACGUGAUCUCGUCGACCUGCGUGGUUCAAUAGAAACUUGAACUGGAGUUUCAUGAUCAACAUCAUUAACUUCCUCCUCAACCGGCAUCGCAUCGACAGAGGUUUCCCCUUGCCCUGCGCCACCAUCUAGAGGGAUGAGAGGUUCGACAACCUCGUCAAGUUCUAUCUUCCUCCCACUCAAUUCUCUCGAGAGGAACUCCUUCUCGAGAAAAGCUCCGUUUUUAGCAACAAACACUUUGCCCUCGGAUUUGAGAUAGAAGGUGUACCCAACUGUCUCUUUUGGGUAACCUAUGAAGACGCACUUUCCCGCUUUGGGUUCCAGCUUUUCAGGCUGAAGCUUUUUGACAUAAGCAUCACAUCCCCAAACUUUUUAAGAAACGACAACUUUGGCCUCUUGCCAUACCACAGUUCGUAUGGUGUCGUCUCAACGGAUUUUAAUGGUGCCCUAUUUAAAGUGAAUGCAGCUGUUUCUAAUGUAUGACCCCAAAAUGAUAACGGCAAAUCAGUAAGAGACAUCAUAGAUCGCACCAUCUCUAACAAAGUACGAUUACGACGUUUGGACACACCAUUACGUUGUGGUGUUCCAGGCGGUGUUAACUGUGAAACAAUUCCACAUUGUCUUAAGUGAGCACCAAACUCGAAACUCAGAUAUUCACCCCCACGAUCAGACCGUAGGAACUUGAUCUUCUUGUUACGAUGAUUUUCCACUUCACUCUGAAAUUGCUUGAACUUUUCAAAUGUUUCAGACUUGUGCUUCAUCAAGUAGACAUAACCAUAUCUACUCAAAUCGUCAGUGAAGGUGAGAAAAUAACGAUAUCCGCCGCAUGCCUCCACGCUCAUCGGACCACACACAUCGGUAUGUAUGAUUUCCAACAAGUCACUUGCACGUUCCAUUGUUCCGGAGAACGGAGUCUUAGUCAUCUUGCCCAUGAGGCAUGGUUCGCACGUGUCAAGUGAAUCAAAGUCAAGUGACUCCAAAAGUCCAUCAGCAUGGAGUUUUUUCAUGCGCUUUACACCAAUAUGACCUAAGCGGCAGUGCCAUAAAAAUAUGGCGCUAUCAUUGUUAACUCUAACUCUUUUGGUCUCAAUGUUAUGUAUAUGCGUAUCACUAUCAAGAUUCAAUAUGAACAAUCCUCUCACAUUCGGUGCAUGACCAUAAAAGAUGUUACUCAUAGAAAUAGAGUAACCAUUAUUCUCUUGAAAUGAAUAAUCGUAUUGCAAUANNNNNNNNNNNNNNNNNNNNNNNNNNNNNNNNNNNNNNNNNNNNNNNNNNNNNNNNNNNNNNNNNNNNNNNNNNNNNNNNNNNNNNNNNNNNNNNNNNNNCCCCCCCACCCUCUCUUUACCAAGCAAGGGGCCUCCAGCAGAGACCCAUUAUCGCAUACUUUAUUGAAAACAUGCACAAGAACAAUUUAUUUGAUACCUGCAGGUAGAUAAAAGUAAUUCUACAGCUUAAUUUGUAUAUGCAAUUAUAUUCUUAUAUGAUCUGAUCAUAUGUUUUAAUUCAGAAAAGCUUGGGUUAUCGGAUGGAAUAUGCCUCAUUGCAGUGACGUGCACACUGGCCAGCUGUCUCGUCAAUUUCCAAGUGUCUCAAUUAAGCGAUGAUGGUUUUACCAACAAAGAAUAUAGUGAGUUGGUGACUGGCACAAUGGAGGUUGCCAUCUGUGGCCCAUACAUAGUUGUGAAAUCCCACGAGUUCAUGCCCAAGUCGACGCCUGCUAUGGUAGCGCCAUUGAAGCCAUGGAUCACAUGCCAUCCUAAUGUCCGGAUUUUCAGAGACACGGCCAUUCUUGUCCUCAUAGCUUACGUGAUAUUAGUGGACAUCAGCUUGAGCUUCGUCUGGCUCGCCAUCUUUCCUGCCAUAGCCCUUGUUUUCAUACUAGCAAUGUACCUCAAGUUCAAUAGACGUACUGGGGGCACCAGUCGUAAAGUUAAUCAUGGAUCUUCUCACGUCGCUGAGACCAAAAUUAAAACUAUGGAGGUUGGUAUGAUAGUGAUGAUCACGCUUGGGGCGCUAUUGGGUAUGGACCAGCUUCCCGACCAUGCAGCUGCCCAGUUCGCCAUUUCACAGUUCCUCCUGUUCCUAAGCUGCACUGUGGCGGCACUGACGCGCAUGAUGAUGAAGUUGCCCACCGGCGCCUCACCGGGCAUAGCACUGGCGUCCGAGAUGCUCCACAAGACCCUGCUUCUCCUCCUGCUGGCGACGGCACACACGGCGGCCGCAGAGUGGCUGGGAGAGGAUGUUGUUCUGCUAUGCUUGCCGGAGGUAAUCCCUGUGCUUCUCUGGUUCAGCCUCCACCUCGACCGUAAACCAGGAAGUAGCUC
rnacentral:lncRNA from 1 species